rnacentral:rRNA from 1 species
GACAGAGGGGGCAAGCGUUGCUCGGAAUCACUGGGCGUAAAGGGCGCGUAGGCGGGAUGGCAAGUCAGUCGUGAAAUCCUUCGGCUCAACCGAAGAACGUCGGCCGAUACUGCCGUUCUUGAGGGAUGCAGAGGAGACUGGAAUUCCUAGUGUAGAGGUGAAAUUCGUAGAUAUUAGGAAGAACACCGGUGGCGAAGGCGGCCCACUGGAUCGGUACUGACGCUGAGGUGCGAAAGCGUGGGGAGCAAACAGG